CCUACGGGUGGCAGCAGUGAGGAAUAUUGGUCAAUGGACGCAAGUCUGAACCAGCCAUGCCGCGUGCAGGAAGACGGCUCUAUGAGUUGUAAACUGCUUUUGUACGAGGGUAAACGCAGACACGCGUACCUUUCUGAAAGUACUGUAUGAAUAAGGAUCGGCUAACUCCGUGCCAGCAGCCGCGGUAAUACGGAGGAUUCAAGCGUUAUCCGGAUUUAUUGGGUUUAAAGGGUGCGUAGGCGGUCGGAUAAGUUAGAUGUGAAAUCCCGAGGCUCAACUUCGGAAUUGCAUCUGAUACUGUUCGGCUAGAGAGUAGUUGCGGUAGGCGGAAUGUAUGGUGUAGCGGUGAAAUGCUUAGAGAUCAUACAGAACACCGAUUGCGAAGGCAGCUUACCAAGCUACUUCUGACGUUGAGGCACGAAAGCGUGGGGAGCAAACAGGAUUAGAUACCCGAGUAGUC
rnacentral:rRNA from 1 species